AGUUAAGAUCGGCUAGCUUUAAUCCAAACUUUUCGAUGCAACAACGCAGAAGUUUGUUUCCUGGAAUUGGUCUAGAAACCUCACCAACACCAACGUUUCUUAAUUUCCAGUCUAGCAAUUUGAAUGCGGUACUCCAAGCAAAGCAAGAACUGCGCGAUAGUUCUUCCCUGGAGUUGUCGACGGAGACAGAAGAGAGCUUGAGCAGGAAAAGAAGGCCAGAGCAAGAUUUAUCAUCG
rnacentral:misc_RNA from 1 species